rnacentral:tRNA from 1 species
GGGCGUGUGGUCUAGUGGUAUGAUUCUCGCUUUGGGUCUGUGAGAGGCCCUGGGUUCAAUUCCCAGUAUGCCCC